GGUGGCUCAGUGGUAGAGCACUUGCCUUGCAUGCAUGAGGCACUGGGUUUGUGUUCUCAGCACCA
rnacentral:tRNA from 1 species